rnacentral:rRNA from 1 species
AAGACAUCUGAAAGAGAUUAAAGAUUUAUCGGUGAUGGAUGGGGAUGCGUCUGAUUAGCUUGUUGGCGGGGUAACGGCCCACCAAGGCCACGAUCAGUAGGGGUUCUGAGAGGAAGGUCCCCCACAUUGGAACUGAGACACGGUCCAAACUCCUACGGGAGGCAGCAGUGAGGAAUAUUGGUCAAUGGGCGAGAGCCUGAACCAGCCAAGUAGCGUGCAGGAUGACGGCCCUAUGGGUUGUAAACUGCUUUUAUAAGGGAAUAAAGUGAGUCUCGUGAGACUUUUUGCAUGUACCUUAUGAAUAAGGACCGGCUAAUUCCGUGCCAGCAGCCGCGGUAAUACGGAAGGUCCGGGCGUUAUCCGGAUUUAUUGGGUUUAAAGGGAGCGUAGGCCGGAGAUUAAGCGUGUUGUGAAAUGUAGAUGCUCAACAUCUGAACUGCAGCGCGAACUGGUUUCCUUGAGUACGCACAAAGUGGGCGGAAUUCGUGGUGUAGCGGUGAAAUGCUUAGAUAUCACGAAGAACUCCGAUUGCGAAGGCAGCUCACUGGAGCGCAACUGACGCUGAAGCUCGAAAGUGCGGGUAUCGAACAGGAUUAGAUACCCUGGUAGUCCGCACGGUAAACGAUGGAUGCCCGCUGUUGGUCUGAAUAGGUCAGCGGCCAAGCGAAAGCAUUAAGCAUCCCACCUGGGGAGUA